rnacentral:rRNA from 1 species
GACGAACGCUGGCGGCGUGCUUAACACAUGCAAGUCGAACGGUAAGGCCCUUCGGGUACGACGAGUGGCGAACGGGUGAGUAACACGUGAACAACCUGCCCUUGACUCUGGGAUAACAGUUGGAAACAGCUGCUAAUACCGGAUACGAGCCUGCAAGACAUCUUGCGGGCUUGAAAGCUCCGGCGGUCAAGGAUGGAUUCGCGGCCUAUCAGCUUGUUGGUGAGGUAACGGCUCACCAAGGCUUCGACGGGUAGCCGGCCUGAGAGGGCGACCGGCCACACUGGGACUGAGAUACGGCCCAGACUCCUACGGGAGGCAGCAGUGGGAAUAUUGCGCAAUGGGCGAAAGCCUGACGCAGCAACGCCGCGUGCGGGAUGACGGCCUCGGUUGUAACGACGUUCAUCCAUGACGUAGCGAAGU